rnacentral:lncRNA from 1 species
GGUUGUUGCAGGCCAUUGGCAUUGACCGUGCUUAUAUGUAGAUUAUUCUUCAUUUUGGAUUAAAAAAAAAAAUUUGAUUGAGCAUUUUAUCUGGUAAGUACCAUUUUCUAAUCAUAGUUUUACAAAUAUUUUCCAUAUAUAAUAUACAGCUGUUGCUAUACAUUUGUAUAUCAUUUUUAUACUUUGCUUUUUCAUUGGUUUUUUAUUCAUUUUUUGGCAGAAACCUUUUACCAUAUAUGUAGCAUUUUUAUUACUUUUAAAUGUAUGUUUACAGAAAGGUUUUAAAUGGCUUUUUCUUUUCAUAUACAGGUAUAUUUCCUGAGUGAUUACAAAAUACGCUUCACUGAUUCUUACGGAUUUAAAUUUUAACGAUGUACCUUUAAACAAUUGUCUAGCUUUUACUACCGUCGAUUUUUUGUUACGGUUUAUCCUACAUUUAUUUCUGUUUCUUAGUUUGAGUGGUUUCUUUUAACAGAAAUAUAAACAAUGAUUUACUUGCGGUAUUGUGUCUUUAGAAUCUGACAUAAUUUUAUUUUAUUUUUAUUUUUAAAACUGAACAUUCUGUGUUCCGAUCUCAGUUUGUAACACAUUUUGUAUUUAAAAUUUGUUUGCCUCUUUACGUAUGUUCUAGAUUUUAACCUGCUGUUAUUAAUAACUCUUCUGUUGAGUCUGAUGUUUAAGGCUGAAUCGAAUUUUGAUGAUUGUUUCCAUUGUUUUAAUGAUUUACACUCAUUAUAAACUAUGUGAUAAAAUUUAAUAGACAACCAUUUAAGACAUUCGUCAGUAGAUCUUGUUUGAUACAAGAAUUUUGAAAUUGAUUUAAAAGUCCGUUCAAGGUCGAAUGACCUAUAUUUACUUGCCCACGUGACACUGUAUGUAAACACAAGCACGUGUUGACACACUUUUUUUAACCACAAAAUAAUGCAUGUAAACUUAGGCACUUUUAUGGCACCAUAUGCAGUUAUCAGUACUCUUUUCAUCAUAAAUAUGAUAAGAUAAUUUGAUCACAAUACAUAUCAUUAGAAAGUAUAUCAUUAGUAUUAAUAGAUAUAAAAAAAGUCCAUACAUAAUAGCAUACAUAUACAUAUAAAAUUCGUAUAACAAAGCGUGUGAUAUAUAGUACACUGUUUUUCAAGUACACAUGUGAAAAAUAGCAUUUUUAGAGCUUUUACUGAUAGGCAAAAUAUUAAAAACAUUUUCUGAAGCUAAUCUAAGUAUUAGAAAUAUUUUACAAACAAAUUUAACAUUAUUAUCAUUUGACAAGUCAUAAUUCGCUUUGAAUAGAAAAGAUUUGUUUUACUCAAAUUUAUUAAAUGUAAUUUAUUCACUACCUUAAUACACCUUUGUUCUAUAUCAGAAUCUUCAUAUUUUAUUUUUACUUUUUUCUUUUUCUUUUUCAGGUUAAACAUUUCAAACAGGAUUAACUUCAGUAGAGUUAAAGAAUCUGUUGAAACUAGACCUUCAAUUCUCUUCACAACUUGCUGCAAUAGUAUACAGCUUACAUCAAAUUUACAGAUCAAACAUUUUAGAUAGUAAAUACUGGAUGAUAUAAAUAAAAACAGUGCUGUACAAACUAUUUUGUGAGACAUUUUAACAUGGC